GACGAACGCUGGCGGCGUGCUUAACACAUGCAAGUCGAACGGAAAGGCCCUGCUUGCAGGGUACUCGAGUGGCGAACGGGUGAGUAACACGUGGGUGAUCUGCCCUGCACUUCGGGAUAAGCCUGGGAAACUGGGUCUAAUACCGGAUAGGAGCCAUUUUUAGUGUGAUGGUUGGAAAGUUUUUUCGGUGUAGGAUGAGCUCGCGGCCUAUCAGCUUGUUGGUGGGGUAAUGGCCUACCAAGGCGGCGACGGGUAGCCGGCCUGAGAGGGUGGACGGCCACAUUGGGACUGAGAUGCGGCCCAGAUGCGUACGGGAGGCAGCAGGGGGGAAGAUUGCACAAUGGGCGCAGGCCUGAUGCAGCGACGCCGCGUGGGGGAUGACGGCCUUCGGGUUGUAAACUCCUUUCGCUAGGGACGAAGCUUUUUGUGACGGUACCUAGAUAAGAAGCACCGGCUAACUACGUG
rnacentral:rRNA from 1 species